UGAUAUUAGGAAUGAGUAUGUAGCCUGCAGUGCUUGCACUUUGCAGGCUACAUAUGAAAUGACUUAACAGACAUGAGGAAGAAGCGCGAUAGCGCGGAUUCCGAAUGGAUGUAGGAAUGCGAGAGCGAAGCGUAGCAUUCCGUAUAUCA
rnacentral:sRNA from 1 species